AGCAGCCGCGGUAAUUCCAGCUCCAAUAGCGUAUAUUAAAGUUGUUGCAGUUAAAAAGCUCGUAGUUGAAUUUCGGGAUUGACCCAUCGGUCGUGCCUUAAGGGGUAUGAACUGGUGUAGUCAAUUUCUCACCUUCUGGAGAACCGUGAUGUCCUUAAUUGGGUGCCACGAGGAACCAGGACCUUUACUUUGAAAAAAUUAGAGUGUUUAAAGCAGGCAUUUUUGCUUGAAUACAUUAGCAUGGAAUAAUAAAAUAGGACGGCAUGAUUCUAUUUUGUUGGUUUCUAGGAUCACCGUAAUGAUUAAUAGGGAUAGUUGGGGGCAUUAGUAUUCAAUUGUCAGAGGUGAAAUUCUUGGAUUUAUUGAAGACUAACUACUGCGAAAGCAUUUGCCAAGGAUGUUUUCAUUAAUCAAGAACGAAAGUUAGGGGAUCGAAGACGAUCAGAUACCGUCGUAGUCUUAACCAUAAACUAUGCCGACUAGGAAUCAGACGANGUUAAUUUUUUAAUGACUCGUUUGG
rnacentral:rRNA from 1 species